rnacentral:rRNA from 1 species
GAGUUUGAUCCUGGCUCAGGACGAACGCUGGCGGCGCGCCUAAUACAUGCAAGUCGAACGAGAGAGAGGAAGCUUGCUUCCUCAAUCGAGUGGCGAACGGGUGAGUAACGCGUGAGGAACCUGCCUCAAAGAGGGGGACAACAGUUGGAAACGACUGCUAAUACCGCAUAAGCCCACAGCUCGGCAUCGAGCAGAGGGAAAAGGAGCAAUCCGCCUUGAGAUGGCCUCGCGUCCGAUUAGCUGGUUGGUGAGGUAAUGGCCCACCAAGGCGACGAUCGGUAGCCGGACUGAGAGGUUGAACGGCCACAUUGGGACUGAGACACGGCCCAGACUCCUACGGGAGGCAGCAGUGGGGAAUAUUGCACAAUGGGGGAAACCCUGAUGCAGCGACGCCGCGUGGAGGAAGAAGGUCUUCGGAUUGUAAACUCCUGUCGUUGAGGAAGAUAAUGACGGUACUCAACAAGGAAGUGACGGCUAACUACGUGCCACCAGCCGCGGUAAAACGUAGGUCACAAGCGUUGUCCGGAAUUACUGGGUGUAAAGGGAGCGCACGCGGGAACACAACUUGGCAGUGAAAUCUAUGGGCUCACCCCAUAAACUGCUUUCCAAACUGUUUCUCUUGAGUAGUGCAGAGUAGGCGGAAUUCCCGGUGUAGCGGUGGAAUGCGUAGAUAUCGGGAGGAACACCAGUGGCGAAGGCGGCCUACUGGGCACCAACUGACGCUGAGGCUCGAAAGUGUGGGUAGCAAACAGGAUUAGAUACCCUGGUAGUCCACACCGUAAACGAUGAUUACUGGGUGUUGGAGGAUUGACCCCUUCAGUGCCGCAGUUAACACAAUAAGUAAUCCACCUGGGGAGUACGACCGCAAGGUUGAAACUCAAAGGAAUUGACGGGGGCCCGCACAAGCAGUGGAGUAUGUGGUUUAAUUCGACGCAACGCGAAGAACCUUACCAAGUCUUGACAUCCCUUGACGAACAUAGAAAUAUGUUUUCUCUUCGGAGCAAGGAGACAGGUGGUGCAUGGUUGUCGUCAGCUCGUGUCGUGAGAUGUUGGGUUAAGUCCCGCAACGAGCGCAACCCUUACUGUCAGUUACUACGCAAGAGGACUCUGGCAGGACUGCCGUUGACAAAACGGAGGAAGGUGGGGAUGACGUCAAAUCAUCAUGCCCUUUAUGACUUGGGCUACACACGUACUACAAUGGCGUUAAACAAAGAGAAGCAAGACCGCGAGGUGGAGCAAAACUCAGAAACAACGUCCCAGUUCGGACUGCAGGCUGCAACUCGCCUGCACGAAGUCGGAAUUGCUAGUAAUCGUAGAUCAGCACGCCACGGUGAAUACGUUCCCGGGCCUUGUACACACCGCCCGUC